rnacentral:tRNA from 1 species
GGGCCCGUGGCUCAGCCUGGUUAGAGCGCUCGACUGAUAAUCGAGAAGUCCUGAGUUCAAAUCUCAGCGGGCCCA